GACAGAGGGUGCAAACGUUGUUCGGAAUUACUGGGCGUAAAGAGCGCGUAGGCGGGUCUUUAAGUGAGGGGUGAAAGGUUCAGGCUCAACCUGGACACUGCCUUUCAUACUGGAGGCCUUGAGUGCGGGAGAGGCGAGUGGAAUUCUUGGUGUAGCGGUGAAAUGCGUAGAUAUCAAGAGGAACACCCAUGGCGAAGGCAGCUCGCUGGCCUGCAACUGACGCUGAGGCGCGAAAGCGUGGGGAGCAAACAGG
rnacentral:rRNA from 1 species